CUACGGGCCGCUGCAGUGGGGAAUAUUGCACAAUGGAGGAAACUCUGAUGCAGCAACGCCGCGUGGAGGAUGACACUCUUCGGAGCGUAAACUCCUUUUAUAUAGGAAGAAGAUGACGGUACUAUAUGAAUAAGCGCCGGCUAACUCCGUGCCAGCAGCCGCGGUAAUACGGAGGGCGCAAGCGUUACUCGGAAUCACUGGGCGUAAAGAGCGUGUAGGCGGAUUAAAAAGUCAGAAGUGAAAUCCUAUAGCUUAACUAUAGAACUGCUUCUGAAACUCUUAAUCUAGAAUAUGGGAGAGGUAGAUGGAAUUUCUGGUGUAGGGGUAAAAUCCGUAGAGAUCAGGAGGAAUACCGAUUGCGAAGGCGAUCUACUAGAACAUUAUUGACGCUGAGACGCGAAAGCGUGGGGAGCAAACAGGAUUAGAUACCCCGGUAGUC
rnacentral:rRNA from 1 species